ACAUGUUAUAAUAGUUUUGUUUGUGGAAACACCACGUAAAUUUAUUACUGCAGUAAUAAAUUUACGUGGUGUUUCCACAAACAAAACUAUUAUAUAUUUUAUCGCCAUGC